rnacentral:lncRNA from 1 species
CUUUCUUCCUCCCCUUCCUCAGGGCGGCAGGAGGUGAUGACAGCUGUAUCCUGGGACAUGUGGAGGGUGGCCAGCACCUUUGAAGGGGACAGAUGGCCUUAGUCUCCCGCUCUCCCCUGUGCUGUCCACAACUUUUCUUCCCGCCGAUGCUUCGGAGGGCUCGGGGAGGAGCAGUGAACCCCCUUAGGAUCUCGCAUACCCCUGGGGGCACUGUCCCUGACAGAACCUCUCUCUCUCUCUCUCUUUCAGGACCUGAGUUCCUUUGCCAUGCCACUCCUCGAUGGAGACCUGGACAGCUCAGAAAAGCAUUCCUCCCGUAAGAUGGACAGCCCCCUCGGCUCGGGCAGCCCCUCCAGAGGGCUCUUCUCCAGAGGCCCCCAGGCCCGGCCCUCCAGCCCCAUGUCUGCUCCCGUGAGACCCAAGACCAGCCCGGGCUCUCCCAAAACCGUGUUCCCGUUCUCCUACCAGGAGUCCCCGCCACGCUCACCGCGACGCAUGAGCUUCAGCGGGAUCUUCCGCUCCUCAUCCAAAGAGUCUUCCCCCAACUCCAACCCAUCUACCUCGCCCGGGGGCAUCAGGUUCUUCUCCCGCUCCAGAAAAACCUCAAGCGUCUCCUCUUCCCCGUCCACUCCCACCCAAGUGACCAAGCAGCACACGUUUCCUCUCGAGUCCUACAAGCAGGAGCCCGAGCGCCUGGAAAAUCGCAUCUAUGCCUCCUCGCCCCCGGACACUGGCCAGCGCUUCUGCCUGGGCUUCCAGAGCCCAGCCAGGCUACCGCUGGCCUCCCCCACGCACCAUGCUGCACCCAAGACCGUAAGUCUGAGCCCUCGUCCCGGGUAGGGCUGGGCAAUGGGGGGGAGGGGCUGCUUCCACACUGUUCUGUCUCAGUGCAAGGCUGGUGUGGUUUAUUUUAUCAUAAAUCACAGACCAAGGACAAAUGGCGAGGGUGUGGAGGGCAGGCAGCAAUCAUAGGAAAUACUUCGGGAUGGGCCCCAUCAUAAAAGUUUUCUGCUCCUCCUUGUUUUUAUUUAUUUUUUCAUUACUGGGAUUGAACCCAGGGCCUACGCACUGAACUGCAUCCCCAACCUUCUUUAUUUUUAGAUAGGGUCUCACUCAGUCACUAAGUUGCCCAGGCUGGGCCUGAACUUGUGAUCCUCCUGCCUCAGCCCGGACUGAGUGCUGGUACUAUAGGCAUUUGCCACCACACUGGGCUCAUUCAUCCUUCUCCUUAAAAAUCAUCCUUUGAAAGCUUUGUUUGAAUUUACCCUGAUCAUUAGAAGUAAAAUGUCACAGGCAAAGGACAAGAGGAACAGAGUUUUAAGAUUUAAAUCCAACAUUGUGUGACUUGGGGUAUAUUCCUAGAAAGGACAGCCUUGUUUUGUUUUGUUUGGGACAGGGUCUCACUGUGUAGUUUAUGCUGGCCUUGAAUUCACUAAGAAACCCAAGCUGGCCUUAAACUUGCUUCAGUGCUCCUGCCUCAGCCUCCCGUUGCAGGAUUACAAGUGAGCAUCACCACGCCCAGCUGAGGGCAGCCUUUCACAAUGGAGUAGGCUCACAGGUGUCUUUGAGGCCUUCAGUGGAUUGGCUGGGAAGGACCAGGACAUGGUGAUGGAGGAAGCUGGCUUUGCCACACUCCUGUGCACUCUCCACUCCAAUACAGAGGUCCCCGAGACCCCACCCAUCAUAGCUUCUUCAGUCCCGGGGAUGUGCUGCCAGGACCAGUAAGGGUGUGCCCAGCAAGGGUGUAAGAAUCAUGUCAUUAAUGCUCCCUACACAGAUGGGACCGUUUCAUUCAGUUGUCAUGCUAAGGGGUUGCUAGAACAAUGCAUCUUCAUUCUGCAUCCCUGUGUAGCCACAGGGAAUUGGUCUGAGGACCCCUGGGAGUACCAAAGUCCUCUGAUGUUCAAUUUCAUUUUCUAAGAUGGUGCAGUAUUUGUACAAUGCCUACAUACAUCUUCCCAAAUGCUUCACCCCAUCACCAGAUUACUUAGAAUACUGCAUCCAAUGUCCUUGAGCUGUGCAAAUUGUCAUUAAUAUUGCUUAGGGAGCAAAGACAAGAACAGUACUUAUUCAGGACAGAUAACAGUUUUUCU